rnacentral:rRNA from 1 species
UACAGAGGUCUCAAGCGUUUGUUCGGAUUCAUUGGGCGUAAAGGGCGCGUAGGCGGCUUUGCAAGUGACGGGUGAAAUCCCUCGGCUUAACCGAGGAACUGCCUGUAAACUGCAUGGCUUGAGACCGGGAGAGGUGAGUGGAAUUCCCAGUGUAGCGGUGAAAUGCGUAGAUAUUGGGAGGAACACCAGUGGCGAAGGCGGCUCACUGGCCCGAUACUGACGCUGAGGUGCGAAAGCGUGGGGAGCAAACAGG